rnacentral:rRNA from 1 species
AGCCAUUAGCUGAUAUAAAUGGUUAGACCUGCCCGGUGUAAAAAAUAAGUUAACGGCCGCAGUACUUUGACUGUGCUAAGGUAGCAUAAUCAAUUGACUUUUAAAUGGAGUCGGGAAUGAAUGGUAGAACUGGGUUUAGCUGUCUUAGAAAUAAUUGAUUGAAUUUGCUUUUUAAGUGAAAAAGCUUAACUUUAAUAAAAAGACGAGAAGACCCUAAGAAUUUUAAUAAAUUAGUUUUAUUAGUUUUUGUUGGGGCGACAAAGAGACAAAUUUAAACUUUCUUGAUGAGACUAGCCGAUAAUGUUAAGCUCGAAUAAAUUACCUUAGGGAUAACAGCAUAAUUUUAUAAUUAAGUUUGUGACCUCGAUGUUGGACUAGGAAACUGACAGGCUAGCCGUUUGUUAUGUGGGUUCUGUUCGAACUACUA